GGUAAUAUGCGCAAGAAAACACAACAGUAGCAGUAUAAAAUUUAAGUAAAAAUUUAACAACAUCAUUAAUGACCUUCCAAGUAUCACUUGUUAACAUACGCCUAGGAUCAGUAUAAUGUGCAUUAGCAACUUCAGUAAUUGGAAAUCUAUAUUUGUAGCAACAUUUUAAAAAUAUAUAUGUAUAAUUCCAUCUAGUAACAAUUUCGUCUGGCAUGAAUCUAGGUGUAAGGUUUAUAUUUUUAAAAACAUUUUAAAAAUAUAUAUGUAUAAUUCCAUCUAGUAACAAUUUCGGCUGGCGUGAAUCUAGGUGUAAGGUUAUACUGGAU
rnacentral:lncRNA from 1 species